CUUCGGAGGUGCUAUUCCAGUAAACGUUUCUGGCUCUCGAUUAAUAUCAGUUUGAGCCCGGACCAGUUUGAGCCAAGACAUGGUGCAUAAAAGGGGAGCCUUGUAUCGAUGAAUUUGUUACAGAAGCAAUUAUGCAGUUGCAGACUACUCAGCAGUUGUGCCUGGAGACUGGUGGUUGUUAAAUUUAAAUCUUAACCCCAAAUUUAUCCAAUGAAAAAGAGAAGGGACCAGGGGAUUCCCAACAAGGAUAUUUUAUUGUCCCACCGUAAGGAAAAUGUGGCAUGGACUUCAGAGCAUGAACAACGUCAGGUGUUAUCAGUAUCAAGCUACCAAAGAUGGGAGACACAUCCUUUAUGGGUUUUGAAGUAAGAACUUUUUUUCGAG